UUGGGUGAAUAUGUAUUUUAUAUUAAAUUACAGAUGCGAAGAGCUAACAUUCCAAUUCAAUUGUGAAGGGCGACCAGAUUUAUAUCUCUGAACGAUGGCGUACUUUCGUUACGUCUAUGGUAGUAUUCGGUUUCAAAACAGUGUAAAUGUAGGUGUAUGCUGAAGGGUGGUUUGGGGUAGGGCCUGGUGGGUGGAGGUGCUUUGAGGAUACCUUGUAGGUAUAGAAAUUAAUAAAAUGGCGAGGGAUGGCGAUAACUCUAAUGAAGUAUUUUCGAAUAUUAAUGAACGUCCUGUAGAUGAUAUUUCCCUUGAAUUUUUCUAUAAACCUCACACCAUAACGUUGCUUACUGUGUCAAUCGCUGCUGUAAUAUAUUCUGCAUUUACACGAGAUGAACAAGACAUGCAGAAUAACAUAAGAGCAGGGAUCUUGUGUGUUAUAUUCUUUUUCCUGAUAAUUUCCGUUUUGGCAUUCCCAAAUGGACCAUUUACAAGACCUCAUCCAGCUGUGUGGCGGAUGGUAUUUGGAAUGAGUGUGCUCUAUCUCCUUGCUCUACUGUUUAUAUUAUUUCAGAGUUACAAGACUGUAAAAUCAAUAAUUUUAUGGAUUGACCCUUCCUUAAAAGAUUUUCACAUAGACAUGGACAAGGAAUAUGGUGUUAAUUGCACGGAUGUAACAGUCGAGAGAAUAUGGAGUCACAUUGAUGUUUUUGCAGUGGGUCAUUAUUUCGGAUGGAUGUUCAAGGCUAUUCUUGUUAGACACCUUGGCAUUUUGUGGGCUAUUAGUGUUAUGUGGGAAUUUACUGAGAUAGCAUUUGCUCAUCUUCUACCAAACUUUAUUGAAUGCUGGUGGGAUGCUCUAAUAUUAGAUGUACUUGUGUGCAAUGGAUUGGGAAUUUGGUGUGGCUUGAAAAUUUGCAAGUAUCUGGAGAUGAGAGAGUAUAAAUGGGUUAGCAUAAGGGAUAUUCGAACAACUUCAGGGAAAAUAAAGCGUGCAGUUUUACAGUUCACACCUGGGAGUUGGAUGCAAGUUAGAUGGUUGGAUCCAUCGUGUACUUACAUGCGCUUUUUUGCUCUUUGCCAGCUUGUCAUUUUUUGGCAAGUCUCAGAGCUCAACACAUUUUUCCUUAAACACAUUUUUGAAAUGCCACCAUCCCACCCGAUUGUGGUUGUUCGACUCGUUCUUAUUGGUGUCUUUGUUGCACCAUCUGUUAGACAGUAUUAUAGUUACGUUACAAAUCCAUUGUGCAAACGUGUGGGAACACAGUGUUGGGUAUAUGGUGCUAUAAUGGUAACUGAGGCCAUUUUGUGCAUAAAGAAUGGCAAAGAGCUGUUUGAACGCACACAGGCAUUUAAUAUUGUCUUAUGGCUUCUACUGCAGCUGCUAACUUCUAUACUUUGCGUAUAUGGCUGUGUUCUGUGGCAUCGCUACAUACAGAAGGAAGAUGAAAUGUCAAGAGAAUCAUCUCCUUGCAAAACACCAGAUUCUGGGUUUGUUGACCAGAAGUCUCACACAGAUGGUAUGACAUCAGAAUUAAUAGUUGAUGCCCUAUCACUUUAGAAGAUGCAUCUGCUGUUGAGCUUUGCUGUCAGUAGGUCUAGGAGAUUGUUGCAGUGGUUGACUUCAUGUUUCAUGCUUGGAGUAACAACUGUAAUCAACAGAUGUGCAUUCAACCUGUCAGUUGUGUGAAGGAAGUAUUAAGUAGUGGGCAUGGAGUCACAGUGUGUCAAUGUUGUCAUUAAUUACAAUGUAGCAACAUCUCUAAAUCAGGUGCUCAAGACAUGCUCCUGACUCUUUGGAAGAAGAGAAAAGUGUGUGCAAAGUUUAUCCCACACACCUUGACUUGUGAACAAAAAUGAUGAUGCAUGGAAUCCUGCUAUGAUUUGAUUGAAAUGUAAAACAUGUGCAAUUCUUUUCUGGAAAAAAAUCAUCACUAGUGAUGAAACUUGGUGUUACCAAUAUAGACCUACCACAAAAUGACAGUGUGGAAAUCCAUGUGAAGAGUCAACACCUUGGUGACUUAACAGACAUUCAAACCAGUGUGAAAUGCAAGUCAAACAGCAUCCCAAAAAAGGUCUUUUCUGACAGUUUCACAUGGUUGUAUGAAAAUGACGUGUUUUGUGCUCAAUGGACGGAAACAGUGUAAAGCACAUGAAGCGUUAAAAUCACCAUCUUAGGUUUUUCUUAUUUCUCAUCAAUCCAGUCUUGAAUUUUUUGGACUGAGAGGAUAUGAAUAAUUUUCAUUAAACCUUAAUAUAAUUUUACUUCAGCUGUAAACUUUUUCUGUAAUACUGAUGCUACAGUAACAUGGCAUUUGGACACGUUUUUGAAAACUUCAUUUGUGUAUGGUACAGUCACAAAUACACACAUAAAAAGCAUGAAAGGGUGCAUAAGCAUUGACUAACCUUGAGCAUAGGAAUGACCACAAAUCUGAAUAAUGGCUGCCAGAUGACAAGAGUUAUUGCUUUGUUGACUGAAAUGUGUACAGAUUUUCUUCCAAUCUAGGAAGCAUUUUGGCUUCUGCAGACGUAUUGGUAAAUUUUACCAUAAGGGAAAUUCCAUUCAGAAACUUAAUAGAUUCACAGAGUCAGCUCAGUAC